AAAAAAGAGAAAAAAUUAGCUCGGGCAAGAUGCAUUUUCUAAUGUUCCCAAAUUUAAAAGUUGCCUCCGGUCUCUAACCCUCGCCCCUCUGACAACCCUCCGCUCAGUCAACGCCUAGCCCCCUCCCUCACAAACCCUAGCCCCUCUCUCACAACCCUCUCCUCUCUCGUAGCCGUGCCUUCACUCUCACCAGGCCUCCCUCCACUAUCUCUCAAUCCUCUGCGACUUCUCUCACAGACCCUCAAGCGAGGACCCCAUACACGCUACCUCAUCUUCUUCAAGCGAUGAUUCGAGGAUUUAUUUGCAGGCUUUCAUCUUCUUCAACAAGAUGUCUAGGCCCAAUUCUGCCUCCAAACGCUGGAGCACAAAACCGGAUAAGGUUGUCCCUGUGGGUGCUGCUGCCACCAAAGGUCGUCCCUGUCGCUGCUGCUUCCACCAAAUGGAGCACAAACCCAACUAAGGUCAUCUCCGCUGCUUCCGCCACCGCCGCUGCUGCUGCCACCGCCGCUGCUGCCACCGCUGUCGAAUGUUUGCCCCCUAAGGUCAUCAUCACCAUCAACAAACCCUGCUCAAGGUCGUGAUCACCAUCAACUGCCCUGCUAAGGUCAUCAUCACCGUCAACUGCACCUAACAGAGGCAUGUUCUUGAGAGGAAAGUUCCAUCAAGCAAUUGCCUUUUGGUUGAAUCAAUUGAGAAAUGGAUGCCCCCCAUAUAUUAUAACUCCCUCUAUCCUGGUUGAAUUACUAUGGAAACAUUGCCGUAUAGAAAGGCAUAGAAUGAGCGAUGGAGGUCUUAGAUGAAUUGGAAAUCAAGGGUUGUUAUGUUGACGUAGUUCUGUAUAAUUCUCUUAUUAGUUCUGCUUGUACAGUGCUAGUUUGACGAUGUUGGGAUGUCCCUUUAUGAUUUUGUUAUCGAGGGGGUUAGAGCCCAACGCGAUAACGUUCAACACUUUGCUCCAUUUUAUUUGUAUCCUUGGCAGAUGGCAAGAGGCUGAAGAACUUUUCCC